rnacentral:rRNA from 1 species
GUCCUUUUGAUUUAUAUUUAAAGGGUCUGGCCUGCUCACUGACAAAGUUUUAAAGAGCCGCGGUAUUUUGACCGUGCAAAGGUAGCAUAAUCAUUAGUCUCUUAAUUAGAGGCUGGAAUGAAUGGCUUGACGAGAAAUCAUCUGUCUUUUAAUAAUUUAUAUAAUUUAACUUUUAAGUCAAAAGGCUUAAAUUUUUUUUUAGGACGAGAAGACCCUAUAGAGCUUUACAUUUUAUUUAUAUAUAGUUUUCUGAUUAAUUUUUCUAUAAAUAUUGUUAAUGUUUUGUUGGGGUGACAUGAAGAAUAAAUAAACUCUUCAUUAUAAAAUCAUUAAUUUAUGUUAAUAUGAUCCAUAAUUUAUGAUCAUAAGAUUUAGUUACCUUAGGGAUAACAGCGUAAUUGUUUUUGAGAGCUCAUAUCGACAAAGCAGAUUGCGACCUCGAUGUUGGAUUAAGAAAAAUUUUAGGUGUAGGAGCCUAAAUAUUAGGUCUGUUCGACCUUUAAAUUCUU